UCCCUGGUGGCGCAGUGGUUAGGACUCCGCGCUCCUAAUGCAGGGGGCCCGGGUUCGAUCCCCGGUCAGGGAA